rnacentral:lncRNA from 1 species
CGAUCCAGUAAGUCGUGUUGCCGCCCUCGAGGAUUUCAUUCUUGAAAUCUUUAGACCCUUUGUAAUUCUUGACGGCUUGCUCUCGCGCUCGACUGAGAUCCUCCUUGGCCGACUCUACUUCUUCUUUAAUGGAAGCUGACUCUGCAUCGAUCAGUGCCAACCUUACUUCGAUGGCCCGAUGCUUCUCCCGCUCCUCCCACUCUUUGAAGUUGUCAUAUUCCUUUCAGGCUUUGUUGAGUGUAUGCUUCUUCUUCUUAAUCCGGGCUUCUUGGGACGUGAUAGACUGCUUAUCCGACUCAAUGUCGUCUCUGACCGACUAAACUUUGGCUCUGGCCGACUCUAAUUCGGUCUUUAAUCGAGAGAUCUUCUCCAGAUGUUUCUCCUCCCGCUCUGCUGUCGCCUGGAGGCGUUCAACAGCAGCAGCCUUCUUGGUGUUUGCAGCCGAAACCUUAUCGCUCCAUAUCCAAUGGAAAUCCAUAAUCUUUCAGUACCCGCUUUUCAGCACCGACAUAUCGUGCGCUAGCUGAAAAGAAGAGAGGGCAAUUAAAAAAAAUAGGUAAAACAAAAAUAAAAGGGAAGCAAAGUAAACUUACACUGAGGAUUAUCAGAUAAAAAGAUGAAAACAUGUCGGACACAGUCCGACUCUUUCUAUUUUUUCAAUCAG